rnacentral:sRNA from 1 species
CAAAAUCCGCGUUAAGGAUUGAAGCGGCAUCCUUUUUUAGGAUCUACCAGCGCAAGCUUGGAGACCAAAAAAAGAUAGAGCUGAAAGCCUGACCCGAC